UACGUAGGGGGCGAGCGUUGUCCGGAGUUACUGGGCGUAAAGGGCAUGUAGGCGGUCGAGUGAGUCGGGGCGGACAGGGGAGGGCUUCACCCUCUCAGCAGCCACGAAACGGGUCGACUGGAGCCUCAGAGAGGGACACGGAAUUCCGGGUGGAGCGGUGAAAUGCGUAGAGAUCCGGAGGAACACCGCAGGCGCAGGCAGUGUCCUGGCUGAGAGCUGACGCUGAGGUGCGAAAGCGAGGGGAGCGAACGGG
rnacentral:rRNA from 1 species